rnacentral:rRNA from 1 species
UGGACGAAAGCGUGGGUAGCGAACAGGAUUAGAUACCCUGGUAGUCCACGCCGUAAACGAUGGAUACUAGCUGUUGGGAGCAAUCUCAGUGGCUAAGCGAAAGUGAUAAGUAUCCCACCUGGGGAGUACGAACGCAAGUUUGAAACUCAAAGGAAUUGACGGGGGCCCGCGUGGAGCAUGUGGUUUAAUUCGAUGAUACGCGAGGAACCUUACCAAGGCUUAAAUGUAGUUUGACGGGUUUGGAAACAGAUCUUUCGCAAGACAAAUUACAAGGUGCUGCAUGGUUGUCGUCAGCUCGUGCCGUGAGGUGUCAGGUUAAGUCCUAUAACGAGCGCAACCCCUGUUGUUAGUUGCCAGCGAGUCAUGUCGGGAACUCUAACAAGACUGCCAGUGCACACUGUGAGGAAGGUGGGGAUGACGUCCAAUCAUCACGGCCCUUACGCCUUGGGCUACACACGUGCUACNAUGGCCGG